AUUUUGAAACAAUUGUGGGCAGAGGAAACAGUUGAACAGGAUCUGUAGUCUUAAGAGAGCCAGAUUGUAUGCUAACUCCAGCACUAUCACAGACGGUAAGAACAUUUUCCUGUCUUCAAAUACACGUCUGAAUUGUAUACAAAUAUAGUCGUGUUUCUACAUAGCUCUAUAACAGAUAUGACUAUAGCUUCGUUUUGGUGAAUAGCUUUGUAACAGCCCACUAUGCAAACGUUAUUUAUCGACAACACAUAUUUUUAUUACAGUAGGUGUAACGUAGCCUACUGGUUAAGUAGCUAUUUAAUGUUAGCUUGUUAAUCUAAAGGCAAACUUGUGAAACACAGGCAAACUUAAGUCACUGAACACAUCCAAUAUUGCACAUCCAAUUAUUUCCCUUUUUUCUGUUCUGUUUUCAGUGCAUAAGACAUUCAGUGGAGCUGCAGCAAGCAGUAUAAAUUGUGCAUAAGGCAUUCAGUUGAGCUGCACCUUAAGGCAAUAGUAAUGGAUGCUGUGAGAAGAAAUUCUGUUUGCUCUGCCAACAGUCGACCCGUUUACAGUAAUAAGUAUGCUGAUAUGACUUAAUAAAUACAAAUCACAAUGAAA